CCUCAAAUCAGGUAGGACUACCCGCUGAACUUAAGCAUACCAAUAAGCGGAGGAAAAGAAACUAACAAGGAUUCCCCUAGUAACUGCGAGUGAAGCGGGAAAAGCUCAAAUUUAAAAUCUGGCGGUCUCUGGCCGUCCGAGUUGUAAUCUAGAGAAGUAAUGCCCGUGCUGGACCGUGUAUAAGUCUCCUGGGAUGGAGCGUCAUAGAGGGUGAGAAUCCCGUCUUUGACACGGACUACCAGUGCAUUGUGGUAUGCUCUCAAAGAGUCGAGUUGUUUGGGAAUGCAGCUCAAAAUGGGUGGUAAAUUCCAUCUAAAGCUAAAUAUUGGCGAGAGACCGAUAGCGAACAAGUACCGUGAGGGAAAGAUGAAAAGAACUUUGGAAAGAGAGUUAAACAGUACGUGAAAUUGCUGAAAGGGAAACGCUUGAAGUCAGUCGCGUUGGCCAGGGAUCAGCCUUGCUUUUGCAUGGUGUACUUUCUGGUUGACGGGUCAGCAUCAAUUUUGACCGCUGGAAAAGGGCCUGGGGAAUGUGGCAGCUUCGGCUGUGUUAUAGCCCCUGGUCGCAUACAGUGGUUGGGAUUGAGGAACUCAGCACGCCGCAAGGCCGGGUUUCGACCACGUUCGUGCUUAGGAUGCUGGCAUAAU
rnacentral:rRNA from 1 species